UUACGUGUACGCCUACAAUACUUAGUCCUGCGUACUUACAAGGUUGCCUAGAGGUGAAUUUACACAACUUUAGACCAAGGCACAAUCAAACACUCUAGUUUCUACUGUCUGUAUCUAAAACUCGUGUAGGGCAAGGAUGAAGGGAACUCUGACACUCAUGCUCUUGUUGUUCGCCAUUUUGGCCCUGAUAUUGAACGAUGCUGAUGCCCAGCACGGCGGCGGCGGCGGUGGACCGCCGUGCCCUCCGCACUGCGGCAGACUGAGUGUGCACGGUGAUGACGACACAGCAGAGCGCGAGGCUCGAGACCUGACAGGAGACGUUCCCCAGGUGAAUAAUGAGGCGGAGGAGUGGGCUGAACACGAUCGGCUCCUCGCCAAACUUGGGAAAAAACCUUGAUCCACACCGACUUCGGCGGCUAAAGAGUGGUUUCUGUGUGAGGGGCCUUGUUUGCUGUGACGACUGAAGGAUGGCGAGACAUCAUCCAGUGCUAUAAUACUUGAUGAAGCUCAAAUACGCAUUUACUGUCAGAGGCCCCCAUUGUGUUUUAAGCCGCAGGUGUUUGUGAUUUGAAAUGUUUCCCUUUUAUCAGCUAAAAACGGUUGGUUGUGUGUAGAAAAUGUUGUUGAUCACAAGAGGUCACAGUACAUAUUGAGCAUCACUUUUAUACAAAACAGCGUAUUGAGCAUUUAUAUACAAACAAGAAUCUGCCAACGCCACACUGUUAUGGUAGUGUAGAAACGAUAAUAAAGUAUUUUAAUACUAAAUUCAUUCUUUCCUGGCCUGUGAUUUGCAUGUAACUUAUCACAAUUUAGUCCCUGACUAUGAAGAGAGGAGAGAGAAGUCACCCAAUGAAUAAUCAAAGUAGGGCAGGGGUAACUUAUUACCCUAUACGACCAAUUAAUCCCCAUGAACUUUGCUUUGCUCCAGAGGAUGAAUA